UGGGAGGAAAGCAGGGGAUCGCAAGACCUUGCGCUUUUGGAGUGGCCGAUGCCUGAUUAGCUAGUUGGUGGGGUAAUGGCCUACCAAGGCGACGAUCAGUAGUUGGUCUGAGAGGACGACCAGCCACACUGGGACUGAGACACGGCCCAGACUCCUACGGGAGGCAGCAGUGGGGAAUUUUGGACAAUGGGCGAAAGCCUGAUCCAGCAAUGCCGCGUGAGUGAAGAAGGCCUUCGGGUUGUAAAGCUCUUUCAGUCGAGAAGAAAAGGUUGUGACUAAUAAUCACAACUCAUGACGGUAUCGACAGAAGAAGCACCGGCUAACUACGUGCCAGCAGCCGCGGUAAUACGUAGGGUGCGAGCGUUAAUCGGAAUUACUGGGCGUAAAGGGUGCGCAGGCGGCUUUGUAAGUCAGAUGUGA
rnacentral:rRNA from 1 species